rnacentral:rRNA from 1 species
UACGGAGGGUGCAAGCGUUAAUCGGAAUUACUGGGCGUAAAGCGUGCGCAGGCGGUUUGUUAAGUCCGUUGUGAAAGCCCCGAGCUCAACUUGGGAAUUGCAGUGGAUACUGGCAGGCUGGAGUACGGUAGAGGAAGGUGGAAUUCCCGGUGUAGCAGUGAAAUGCGUAGAUAUCGGGAGGAACACCGGUGGCGAAGGCGGUUCUCUGGGCCUGCUCUGACGCUGAGGAGCGAAAGCGUGGGGAGCGAACAGG